GUAGGGAAUAUUGGGCAAUGGAUGCAAGUCUGACCCAGCCAUGCCGCGUGGAGGAAGAAGGUCCUCUGGAUUGUAAACUCCUUUUUUGGGGGAAGAAUAGUUUUCUUGCGAGAGAAUGUGACGGUACCCUAAGAAUAAGCCACGGCUAACUACGUGCCAGCAGCCGCGGUAAUACGUAGGUGGCAAGCGUUGUCCGGAUUUAUUGGGUUUAAAGGGUGCGUAGGUGGUUUGAUAAGUCAGUGGUGAAAGCUGGUUGCUCAACAAUCAAGUUGCCAUUGAUACUGUCGGACUUGAGAGAAGUGGAGGUUCAUGGAAUGGAUGGUGUAGCGGUGAAAUGCAUAGAUAUCAUCCAGAACGUCGAUUGCGAAGGCAGUGGGCUGUACUUUAUCUGACACUGAGGCACGAAAGUGUGGGGAUCAAACAGGAUUAGAUACCCGAGUAGUCC
rnacentral:rRNA from 1 species